rnacentral:rRNA from 1 species
GAUGAACGCUAGCUACAGGCUUAACACAUGCAAGUCGAGGGGAAACGACAUCGAAAGCUUGCUUUUGGUGGGCGUCGACCGGCGCACGGGUGAGUAACGCGUAUCCAACCUGCCCAUCACUUGGGGAUAACCUUGCGAAAGUAAGACUAAUACCCAAUGACGUCUCUAGAAGACAUCUGAAGGAGAUUAAAGAUUUAUCGGUGAUGGAUGGGGAUGCGUCUGAUUAGCUUGUUGGCGGGGUAACGGCCCACCAAGGCGACGAUCAGUAGGGGUUCUGAGAGGAAGGUCCCCCACAUUGGAACUGAGACACGGUCCAAACUCCUACGGGAGGCAGCAGUGAGGAAUAUUGGUCAAUGGACGAGAGUCUGAACCAGCCAAGUAGCGUGCAGGAUGACGGCCCUAUGGGUUGUAAACUGCUUUUAUAAGGGAAUAAAGUGAGGUCUCGUGAGACUUUUUGCAUGUACCUUAUGAAUAAGACGGCUAAUUCCGUGCCAGCAGCC